GUGGGGAAUUUUGGACAAUGGGCGCAAGCCUGAUCCAGCAAUGCCGCGUGCAGGAAGAAGGCCUUCGGGUUGUAAACUGCUUUUGUACGGAACGAAACGGUCCGGGUUAAUACCCUGGGCUAAUGACGGUACCGUAAGAAUAAGCACCGGCUAACUACGUGCCAGCAGCCGCGGUAAUACGUAGGGUGCAAGCGUUAAUCGGCAUUACUGGGCGUAAAGCGUGCGCAGGCGGUUUUGUAAGACAGGCGUGAAAUCCCCGGGCUCAACCUGGGAAUUGCGCUUGUGACUGCAAGGCUGGAGUGCGGCAGAGGGGGAUGGAAUUCUGCGUGUAGCAGUGAAAUGCGUAGAUAUGCGGAGGAACACCGAUGGCGAAGGCAAUCCCCUGGGCCUGCACUGACGCUCAUGCACGAAAGCGUGGGGAGCAAACAGGAUUAGAAACCCGAGUAGUCC
rnacentral:rRNA from 1 species